ensembl:lncRNA
AUGAACGUUCGCCAUGUUCCGGCAUUUGAGCCAAUCAGCGAUAAGCUUCACUGUACGCGCUCAUUUAACUUCGUUAGUUCAGGAGAAGAUGACUGGGCUACGGCUAAAGCCAGCAGAAGCUACAUCGAACAAACUUCCCUUGUCUGCUUUGUGUUGCGGGUGCUGCUGCUGACUGUCCUGAAAUCCAUGCGUUGCAGCAAGAUGGGAGCGGAUGGAUUCGCCUCAGGGUCGAACGUGAAGCAGUGUGAGGAUGUCAUGCUGUGGAUUUUCUCAGGCUUCUCCCUCCCAGAGUCCACCAUCAGCGCACUGACCUUGGAGGGCAGCGCCUUCAUUCCUGAAGGCCGACUAGAAAAACCCUUGCAGAUCCACAGCAGCAGCCCCUGGUACAGCUACAGGACCCCCACCCGCUGCACAGGUGGCGUGUCCUUGAUGCCCGAGCGGCUGCAGUAUUGACCCGAUACGGGGAGGACGUUCCUG